CCCCUGUAACACUGGAUGCAGCCCACUUGGACCUCAUCCUUUCCCAGGAUCUAAAGACAGUGAUGCUGGACCUCGACUCCUAGGUUGGUUUGCAGAAGCCGGGCUACUGCAGACUCUUUGACCAGUUCAGCUGUGUGAAAAGAAAGUUGCCCAGGUUCCACAGCAAGAGACAAGGCACAAUCUAUUGCAGCAUAAUAAAUAACUGAUUACUUAGUUAUAGCAAUAAUACCAAUAUUUUUACUGAUUACUUAUAGCAAUGAUAUAUUUGCUGAUUACUAAGUUAUGGUAAAGACGCCAGAUAGAUAUUAGAUUCACUCACAUGAUCAAUUAUAUAAUCUAUCUUAUUACAUCAUUAUUCUCUAUUAAUCUUUGCUUUAGUGUAGGAAUAUUUUAGUCUUAUAGUAUAGACAUAAUCAGGUGAAAUAUAAUUAGAGACUGAAGGGACAUUGUGAGAAGUUAUCAGGAGGUAAGAAUAAAUGCCUUGCGGUAGCACCAGCGCCUGGGAAGGCGCCCGUUACUCAGCUGGCAGGCCUUGCGGUAACCCCAGCAUCUGGGAAGGCACGAGUUACUUAGCAGGCUAUGGGGGGAAGUUUUCCUUUCACUGAGGAGUUCAGAGAAAACUCUACUCUGCGGCUCUUGAUGAAGGUCUGACACUAGCCGGGCCGGCCCACAGACAUCCAGGGGUUUAAACACCUCUCCACCGAUGGUCACCAACCUUAUCCACUUUAAUGUUCCACUUUCCCACCAAUGCUCCCUUGUAAAUUCUUAGAAGCUGUGAGAAGAACAGAGGAAUCCUAAAAGGCCUUUGAUCUCUCUGAUAAGUGCAUAGAAAGAUACUGACGUAUGUGCCUCCCCUUCUUGCAGCGGCUACCUGAAAGGGAGGGGCCCCCUGAACUGUACCCACGUGGCCCCCCCGUAUUGUAAGAAUGUGAUUUGAGUGACCCCUACCAAUCAUGUCAGAUGAGUUAUUCUCCCGCUCUGCCCCCUGCCUUGUAUACAAUAAAUAUCAGCGCGUCCAGGCUUUCGGGGCCACUGCUGGACUCCGCCCCUUGGUAGCAGUGGUUCCCAGGGCCCAGCUGAAUUCUUCUCUGUACACAAAAGAACACCCACUAGACCCUGCGAGGCUGGACUCGCCAGGGGGCCUUUCCUCAGGCGGAUGCGCCUGGGAGGCGGAGCUCCAAGGUCCCGGGAACCCGGCCUACAUGCUGGGCGUGGCCUCGGAGUUGGUUCCCAGGCGGGGCUUUCUGGAGGUGGAGCCCUUGACCGACUUCUGGGAGUUGCAUAUCACCGGGUCCGAGUGCCAGGCGUUCACUGAAGGAUCUCCAGUUUCUUCCUUUCUGCAAUAUGCCUGGAUUGAAAAGGAAGGAUCAAAUACACGGAAAAGCUAUACACAAAGCUGUUCAUUGCAGCACAGUUGGUAACAGGAUAAGAUCGGAAACAAACGUCUAUCAACCGGUGGUUGAAAAAGCUGCCAAGUGCAAGCAUCCAGCUGCACCGUGGAUAAGACAGACUCGGAGGACUGCACCACUGACCCCGGCUUGUUCCCUCUCUCUUCCUCCACCUUAUCUCCCGCAGCCCCCGCGGCCCUGCGCAGGGCUUUGACCCAUCCGAACCUCAUCCUGAAAACCGACAUACUCAGAACGUUUCUAGUUCUUCAUAGUACUCAGAAACCAAAAUUUAUCCCAGGACCAGACGCAUCCUCCUCUCAAACCCGCACCACCACUACCCGAAACCAAAGUCUUGAUCAUUCCUAGUGUUGCCGUGUGAGGGACUGAAGUUAAACCCAGAGGAGGACUGCUCCUGUUUCCUCAGCGAGCCCAAAAAUAUAAAAGGGCGAGGAGGUUGGAAACACAGAGACGAAAUGACCUACGGAGAGUAAAACGCACGAUCUGGGCCAGAGUAUGAGAUGAUUAUGGGUUCCUUCCUCUUCCUCUUCCUUCAGUCCGGCUGAGGACUGGGUAGGCGGAUGGGUUCAGGGGUCUGUAGGAUUUUCCAGCCGCCUCGGUAGGGUAGGGAGAAGCCAGUUUUGCAGGAGGCGUGGGGAGUCGCCCGCCCGACCACCCGGCUGCCCGGCGCGUGGCUGUGCAGCGGGAGGGCGGGCCCUGGUGUAAGGGCGGGAGCGAGCCAACGCCCGGAGCGCGGAUUCCAGGGGCCCGCAGUCAGCCCUGGCCCGGCUCCCCCAUCCAGUUCCCCCGGUCGCCCGCGAAGCGCCGCCGAUUACAUAAACAGCCUUCACCUCCCUAAGGAGGGGACAACCGAGAGCUGGAGACACGCAGGCCAAGACCCGCAAGCAACGCCUCUCCGGACGUUUAUUCAGAUCACCCGGGACUGCCCAAAUUCCCUAUUUACAGUUCUCACAGCCCUCGUCAAGGUCAUGGACUUCGCGCCCUUUAUCUUGUUUCCUUUCAUUGUGUACAGAUUUAACUUCCUCACUAGAAAGGGAGAUCUUUCCUCCACUGUCUUAAGUUGAUUUUAUACUCCUGGCUCCACCAACCCCUGACACUUAGCACAAACCCUAGAAUGGGGUAGUUGAUUAAUAAAUAUUUACUAAAUUAAAACCA
rnacentral:lncRNA from 13 species